GGCUCCGUGGCGCAAUUGGAUAGCGCGUCGGACUUCUAAUUCGGAGGCUGUGGGUUCGAGUCCCACCGGAGUCG